GACACUCGAACUGCCUGGAGAACCAGAUGACAUGCUUUCCUACGCCUUGCCAGAUGAAAGGCACAUUUGGGAGAAUCGGGACCUAGAGGGUCACCCGGGAGUGUCUUCAUGGGGAUCUGAACCCACAUCUCCUUCAUCUCCUGCACUGCAGGUGGACUCUUUACCUGUUGAGCCAUUGGGGAAGCCCCGUCCUAUGACUUACCUGUAUCUCAAAUGUCCAGGAAGAAUCAAUGUGGGAAAAUGCUUUAAGGUUCUGCGUGAAGUGAAAAGGAUUACACCUUUGCAUGGUACAGGAAAGUUGAAAUAAUAUGCGGGAUUCGCCCAAGGACCUAGAUACCUUGAAAAUAUGGGCUGGUGAGUGACCAACUUUAAAAAGAAAAACAGGCGCAAAAUGCUCUAGCUCCAGGAAGUUUAUGGAACAAUCUUGGAACCAGAUGGUGAACGACUGAAGUGACUUAGCAGCAGCAGCAGCAGCAGCAAUCUGUUGUGGGACAACGGGGAAUGCAUGAGUAGAGAAGACACGCACCAUAUAUGUAUUCACCAUUCCUCGCUGCCCCCAUGAGGUUGGCAGUUCCCCCAAGAGCACAGAAUUCCAGUGGGAGCCCAGUGAGACGCAAAGUCAGUCAAAGGUGGGCAUCCGUUUGCAGUAACAGCGGUCUCCAACGUCGAGUGCAGGGAGAACUGACACUCCUGAAUGAAUAUGAGGAAACCCCAGGCAAAUUCAGGUUCACCACAUAUACUCAGGGACGUCAGAUCCACCCCUAAACCAGAAGUGGUAUUUCUCCGUUGGCGU
ensembl:lncRNA